AUUGAACGCUGGCGGCAGGCCUAACACAUGCAAGUCGAGCGGAUGAAGGGAGCUUGCUCCUGGAUUCAGCGGCGGACGGGUGAGUAAUGCCUAGGAAUCUGCCUGGUAGUGGGGGAUAACGUCCGGAAACGGGCGCUAAUACCGCAUACGUCCUGAGGGAGAAAGUGGGGGAUCUUCGGACCUCACGCUAUCAGAUGAGCCUAGGUCGGAUUAGCUAGUUGGUGGGGUAAAGGCCUACCAAGGCGACGAUCCGUAACUGGUCUGAGAGGAUGAUCAGUCAAACUGGAACUGAGAAACGGUCCCGACCCCUAAGGGAGGCAGCAGUGGGGAAUAUUGGACGAUGGGGGAAAGCCUGAUCCAGCCAAGCCGGGUGUGUGAAGAAGGUCCUCCGAUGUGAAAGCAAUUUAAGUUGGGGGGAAGGGCAGUAAGUUAAGACCUUGCUGGUUUGACGGUACCAACAGAAUAAGCACCGGCUAACUUCGUG
rnacentral:rRNA from 1 species